CUAAUUAAUUCAAAAUUCCAAUUUUCAAUUUUUUUUUUUUUUUUAAAUAAUAAAUUUUUUAAAUCUACAACAAUUACAAUGCAAUUAUUUUCCAAUUGUUUCAAGCGGCAGGCAAAAGGCAUACAAAAUACAUAAAUACCAAGAAAAUCGUAAAUAGCAGAAAAUCUAAAAAUUACAUCAGAGACCAAGGGAUUUCAAGACUGUGUCAGAUUGUCUUCAACGACAGGCACACACUCAUACUUAUAUGCAACACCGUUACUUCACACUGCAACUAACAACACUUUCUGCUCGUUUUUAAUAUGAUUUCCCAUCGUCCCACUUCUAUUGUCAGCUUAGCUCAUCUCAGCCAGGCAGCUCUAAUGCCCAGCGCAAUAACUUAAAAACCGAAUGCAGUAGCCGACAAUGCAAAGUAUAAGGAAAAGGGGAUGGGAAAACAAACAAUGAGCGUAAGGCAACAAGCUGACGGCAUGACAAAGCUACACAGAUUCUUGGAUUUGGAUUCCCUUAAACUUCACACUUCUUACGUGCAUAUACAGCUGUUGAAUGACGAAUAGCUGGUGAUGGGCCCAAGCGGCGAAGUCAUUUGCGCAAUUUACAGUGGGAAACUCAGUGAAGUCAUUUCUCAUCAAGUAACAUGAGCAAAUGGAAACUUUCUCUCGAUCAAAUAAUACCUAUACACCAAAAAUCGACAUCUCUAUUUAGCAGUUGGAGCAAUGGCAUUAUGACCAAGGUUUUGUGUCAACAUGUGACAAAUUGAAGAUCCUCUUUCAAACGAAUCUGCGCUUCUUAGACUAGUUCUAAUUAGAAUGAUUGUUCCAUGGUUGUCAACGAGGGUUUUGAGAACUACGAUUUAAAUCAUGCAGACACUUAAAUUCCGGACUGAAACCCGACUUUUUGUUGAAUACGAUGGAUGAAAACUUGGAGGCAUUUGUUUCGAUCGCUAAAUUAAUUUUGUAUAUUUACCCAGCACUGAAUACGCAAAGGUUCUAUUCCAAUGGAUCCGAUUCAGUUGAUUUCUUAAUAUCUGGAUAUGUCAUAUAAAGAAGCUUUAAGUUUCCAUAUGGGAUAAUAUUAUAUAAUUUUAGGUCUGCAAGUUUACGAGACCUCUUUUAUACAACCACCAUUUAAAGUUGCCCGAAAUUGGUGCUGAAGUUUCGAAACUUUUGUUUGAGUUAUUAUCGAACCACGGCUACGGAAUCGUUUCAAAUGCAGAAUAUCAGUCAUGUCAGUCGUCCAUCCACUUCAGAUUAUGACGAUAACAUCGAAAAAGGUAAAGAAACAGAGCUUGAAAACCAAUAACCAUCAGAGAGAUAGCAGAGGAUUUCAACAUCACUUAUGGAUCGACCCCAUACAUUUUGGUGAAUGUUUUAGAUAUGAAGCGUGUCUAUGCUAGACUCGUACCAAAAUAUCAGAAUCUUUUUUCAUAACGACGACGAGUAGUGUUCUCAAAAGAGAUGCUUGACAACGUGGCUGCGAACCAUACAUUCAUCAAACGCAUCAUUACUGGUGAUGAGACGUAGGCUUAUGAAUACGACGUCGAAACUUUGCAACAAUUUAGCGACUGGAGCUCAAAAAAUGAGCCGAGACUGAUAUAACCAAAAUUCGCGAGCAAUGUAUCUUAGGAAGUGCUACCAGAAAAGUAUUUUUAAAUUUUAUUUUUAUCACUUAUUUCACUUCUUCAUGCUUUGUUAGAUAAUUUGCUAAUUUUAA